rnacentral:ncRNA from 1 species
GGGCAGCUGAUGCCCUAGGGUGCUGUCUGCGGGCACGAGGAAGCCGGUGGGAUUCCGGCACAGUCGCGCUACUGUGACACCUCCUCCAGACAGGUCCCCCGGGACCGGUCGGGCGGUGGUGGAGUCAGACCCGAGUGUCCGUCCACCC